rnacentral:rRNA from 1 species
GACGAACGCUGGCGGCGUGCCUAAUACAUGCAAGUAGAACGCACAGUUUAUACCGUAGCUUGCUACACCAUAAACUGUGAGUUGCGAACGGGUGAGUAACGCGUAGGUAACCUGCCUGGUAGCGGGGGAUAACUAUUGGAAACGAUAGCUAAUACCGCAUAAUAUUGAUUAUUGCAUGAUAAUUGAUUGAAAGAUGCUAUUGCAUCACUACCAGAUGGACCUGCGUUGUAUUAGCUAGUAGGCGAGGUAACGGCUCACCUAGGCGACGUUACAUAGCCGAACUGAGAUGGUGGUCGGCCACACUGGGACUGAGACACGGCCCAGACUCCUACGGGAGGCAGCAGUAGGGAAUCUUCGGCAAUGGACGAAAGUCUGACCGAGCAACGCCGCGGGAGUGAAGAAGGUUUUCGGAUCGUAAAGCUCUGUUGUAAGAGAAGAACGGGUGUGAGAGUGGAAAGUUCACACUGUGACGGUAUCUUACCAGAAAGGGACGGCUAACUACGUG